rnacentral:ncRNA from 2 species
UUUAUCGAUCUGGGGCGCCAUUGGGCUGAGAAGUACCCAUCGAACCUGCUCUGGUUAGGACCAGCGAAGGGAGAUCACAUCACUAGCCA